UGUAUUCCUUCUCUUUUGAUAAGCAAUAGAUGAAUCUUUUAUGCAGCCUUUGAGCAGCAACUUGGAGGGAGGAACCCCUAUAGAGUUCCAAGGAGGCCGAUCCCCUAAAGAGAUCAACCCCAAGUUUAGAAUCUGCAAGGGUUCUAACACCUGGUAUCAGAGCAGUGUUCUUGGCGUCUCGCUGCCCUUCCACAGCCAUCCAUCAACCCUCCACAACGAUACAAAGCAAUUCCCACAAUUGCUUAAAAGUCAUCGCCGAAUUCCGCCAUCAUCUCCACCACCACGGAUCAUCCUUUGAUCUCCCCGUGAAUUGCAACAGGUUCUGGUUUUCUACCUUACUGCUGCUGCAAUUUAGUUAUCCUUAUUUGAAAAUCCCAAAAAAAUUAUUCCUAUAUUGCUGCAUAAACUUUUCGUCAUAAAGUUUUCAUCUCUACGACGAAAUAUACAUUGCAG
rnacentral:lncRNA from 1 species